CAUAGUACUCCUGAGACCUCCCCUGAGAGGACCUCAGACACCCAGAGACCACAGGUACCACUAGAAAGAGCAAGCAAGUGGUGGAGAAGUUGAAGAGAAAGAGAAACAGAAGGAUGUGGGCAGAAUGAAGAGAGGCAAAACCAGAGACACGAGGGUAGUGAGGACCAACUUGACUCUCUAGGACAAUGCCCGCCAGUAUGCCACCAUGUUUCCUGCCACGACCAUAAUGGACCCAACCUCUGAACGGUGCUGGGCUCCUCAGAGCCAGAGAUGGGAUAGAACAGACCAGAGAGGAGAGAGAAACCAAGGGUCUACUUUGAUGCUUGCCAUGGCUGCAUCAGAACAUAUCCACUCCUUUCAACCCAUCUGAAAACUGGGCAUAAUUAUGGGAAAUGCAGGAACAAAAUUGGAGCAGAGACUGAAGGAAAGGCCAUUCAGAGACCUCCCCACCUUGGGAUCCAUCCCAUGCACAGGUACCAAACCUCAACACUAUUGCUGAUGCCAUGUGGUACUUGUAGCCAGGAGCUUAGCAUGGCUAUCUUCUGAGAGGCUCUACCAGCACCUGACUGAGAAAGAUGCAGAUAUUUACAGCCAACCAUUGGACUGAACCUGGGGACCCCUACGGAAGACUUAGGGGAAUAACUGAGGAGCUUAAGGGGAUUGCAACUCCACUGUAACAACAGGAUCAACUUACCAGACCCCUCAGAGUUCCCAGAGACUAAGAACAUACAUGGGAUGGCCUGUGGCUCCCACUACAUACGUAGCAGGGGACUGCCUUGUCUGGCACAGUGGGAGGGGAUGAGUUUGGUCCUGUGGAAGCUUGAAGCCCAAGAGAAGGGGAAUGAUAGAGGUGAGGUGUGAGUGGGUAGGUGGGUAGGGGAGCACCCUCUUAGAGGUGAAGGGGAGAGUGGAUGUGGUGGGAGGCACAUGGAGGGACUGGGAAGGUGGACAACAUUUGAAAUGUAAAUAAAUGAAAUAAUUUUUUUAAAAACUAAAAAUAAAUCAGUAGUGAUAACUACUUUAAAAGACGACAAACUUCUGUCUCCAGUCAAAAGAUGACACGCCUCUCGCCCCCCCAAAAAUCAAUAAGCAAAGAAGCAAAAGGAUAUUACAGAGGGUUCUGGAUGAACCUUCAGAAGGGGAAGAGAAACAAUCCCAAAGACAAAGAUCAUGGCCCCAUGAAGAUGGAGUUGAGAUGAGA
rnacentral:lncRNA from 1 species